rnacentral:rRNA from 1 species
AUUGAACGCUGGCGGCAUGCCUUACACAUGCAAGUCGAACGGCAGCACGGGAGCAAUCCUGGUGGCGAGUGGCGAACGGGUGAGUAAAGUAUCGGAACGUGCCCAGUCGUGGGGGAUAACGUAGCGAAAGUUACGCUAAUACCGCAUACGAUCUAUGGAUGAAAGCGGGGGAUCGCAAGACCUCGCGCGAUUGGAGCGGCCGAGAUCCGAUUAGGUAGUGGGUGGGGUAAAGGCUCACCAAGCCGACGAUCUGUAGCUGGCCUGAGAGGACGACCAGCCACACUGGGACUGAGACACGGCCCAGACUCCUACGGCGGCAGCAGUGGGGAAUUUUGGACAAUGGGCGCAAGCCUGAUCCAGCCAUGCCGCGUGCAGGAUGAAGGCCUUCGGGUUGUAAACUGCUUUUGUACGGAACGAAAAGGUUUGACUUAAUACGUUGGACUCACGACGGUACCGUAAGAAUAAGCACCGGCUAACUACGUGCCAGCCGCCGCAGUAA